rnacentral:rRNA from 1 species
UGAGGAAUAUUGGUCAAUGGACGAGAGUCUGAACCAGCCAAGUAGCGUGAAGGAUGACUGCCCUAUGGGUUGUAAACUUCUUUUAUACGGGAAUAAAGUGAGGCACGUGUGCCUUUUUGUAUGUACCGUAUGAAUAAGGAUCGGCUAACUCCGUGCCAGCAGCCGCGGUAAUACGGAGGAUCCGAGCGUUAUCCGGAUUUAUUGGGUUUAAAGGGAGCGUAGGCGGACGCUUAAGUCAGUUGUGAAAGUUUGCGGCUCAACCGUAAAAUUGCAGUUGAUACUGGGUGUCUUGAGUACAGUAGAGGCAGGCGGAAUUCGUGGUGUAGCGGUGAAAUGCUUAGAUAUCACGAAGAACUCCGAUUGCGAAGGCAGCUUGCUGGACUGUAACUGACGCUGAUGCUCGGAAGUGUGGGUAUCAAACAGGAUUAGAUACCCUGGUAGUCCACACAGUAAACGAUGAAUACUCGCUGUUUGCGAUAUACAGUAAGCGGCCAAGCGAAAGCGUUAAGUAUUCCACCUGGGGAGUACGCCGGCAACGGUGAAACUCAAAGGAAUUGACGGGGGCCCGCACAAGCGGAGGAACAUGUGGUUUAAUUCGAUGAUACGCGAGGAACCUUACCCGGGCUUAAAUUGCAUUUGAAUAAUCAAGAAAUUGGUUAGUCGUAAGACAAAUGUGAAGGUGCUGCAUGGUUGUCGUCAGCUCGUGCCGUGAGGUGUCGGCUUAAGUGCCAUAACGAGCGCAACCCUUAUCUUCAGUUACUAACAGGUUAUGCUGAGGACUCUGGAGAGACUGCCGUCGUAAGAUGUGAGGAAGGUGGGGAUGACGUCAAAUCAGCACGGCCCUUACGUCCGGGGCUACACACGUGUUACAAUGGGGGGUACAGAAGGCCGCUACCUGGUGACAGGAUGCUAAUCCCAAAAGCCUCUCUCAGUUCGGAUCGAAGUCUGCAACCCGACUUCGUGAAGCUGGAUUCGCUAGUAAUCGCGCAUCAGCCAUGGCGCGGUGAAUACGUUCCC